rnacentral:rRNA from 1 species
CCUACGGGGUGCAGCAGUGGGGAAUAUUGCGCAAUGGGGGGAACCCUGACGCAGCAACGCCGCGUGAAUGAAGAAGGCUUUCGAGUCGUAAAAUUCUGUCCUCAGGGAAGAAGAAGUGACGGUACCCGAGGAACAAGCCACGGCUAACUACGUGCCAGCAGCCGCGGUAAUACGUAGGUGGCGAGCGUUAUCCGGAUUUACUGGGUGUAAAGGGCGUGUAGGCGGGUUAUCAAGUCGGAUGUGAAAUACUGAGGCUUAACUUCAGUCGGUCAUCCGAAACUGAUGAUCUUGAGUGUCAGAGGGGAAAGCGGAAUUCCUGGUGGAGCGGUAAAAUGCGUAGAGAUCAGGAGGAACACCGGCGGCGAAGGCGGCUUUCUGGCUGACAACUGACGCUGAGGCGCGAAAGCGUGGGGAGCAAACAGGAUUAGAUACCCUUGUAG